rnacentral:lncRNA from 1 species
AAAUUCUAACUAUUACAUCCAAACAUUGAACUUUGAUUACAUUAACCAAAAUACAACUCUUUUCAUAUUCAUUACAUUCACUUUCAAAAUACAUAGUUCAUAUCUCAACUACAACCAUUACAUGUCCUUUUCAUCAAAACAAAAUAUGAAAGUAAGAGGGUACACCUAACACACAAAAAAAGGUUCACUACCUAGGCCGCUAUGCCUUUACCAUGAUCCUCGACCGCCCCGCUCGCGCAAGGAUCUUCAAAAU